GCAUGUUCCAGGAAGGAGAGGGAUAAGGAAGGCAAUUUUGGCUGACCCUUUCCAAAUGAAUGGAGCCCCAAUCGAUUCACCGGCCUCAGUUGCCAUACAGUUGAGGAGCCAGACACGAAGUGCAUCUGGAAGACAAACAAUUUAAAACUUUGCAAGAAAAUACAGUCUGAAGAAGGGUCCCAACCCAAAACACAGUCUAUCCAUUCCGCCCCCAAAUGCUGCUAGAUCCACUGAGUUACUCCAGCACUUUGUGCUUUGCUCAAGAAAAUACAGCUGUUGAAAAGACUCUCAGACUUGGACCGUGUGAGGCUGAAUCCUCAUGGCUUCUCUUGGCGACAAUCCAGGGGUUUGGCAAACAAGGCCUUCGAGGUUGAAGGUUGUGAGCGGGAAAAGAAAGAUUUCCUGA